GACGAACGCUGGCGGCGUGCUUAACACAUGCAAGUCGAACGGUGACGGAGGAGCUUGCUCCUCCUGAUCAGUGGCGAACGGGUGAGUAACACGUGAGCAAUCUGUCCCUGACUCUGGGAUAACUGCGGGAAACUGUAGCUAAUACCGGAUACGACGCGCGAAGGCAUCUUCUGCGCGUGGAAAGAAUUUCGAUCAGGGAUGAGCUCGCGGCCUAUCAGCUUGUUGGUGAGGUAAUGGCUCACCAAGGCGACGACGGGUAGCCGGCCUGAGAGGGUGACCGGCCACACUGGGACUGAGACACGGCCCAGACUCCUACGGGAGGCAGCAGUGGGGAAUAUUGCACAAUGGGCGCAAGCCUGAUGCAGCAACGCCGCGUGAGGGACGACGGCCUUCGGGUUGUAAACCUCUUUUGGCAGGGAAGAAGCGAAAGUGACGGUACCUGCAGAAAAAGCACCGGCUAACUACGUG
rnacentral:rRNA from 1 species